CGCGCGUUCGGUUAUGGGUAGGCCCUCGCCCUUUCAAGGCGAUGGAGCGGGUUCGAGUCCCGCACGCGCGUCCA
rnacentral:tRNA from 1 species